CAAUAGCGUAUAUUAAAGUUGUUGCAGUUAAAAAGCUCGUAGUUGGAUUUGUGGCGUAUGGUGUGUUCCGGGCACUUGUUGUCUGAGUAACUUGCCAUUGCCAUCCUUGGGUGGAACCUGUGUGGCAUUAGGUUGUCGUGCAGGGGAUGCCCAUCGUUUACUGUGAAAAAAUUAGAGUGUUCAAAGCAGGCUUAUGCCGUUGAAUAUAUUAGCAUGGAAUAAUAAGAUAGGACUUUUUUGCUAUUUUGUUGGUUUGCGCGAGAAGGUAAUGAUUAAUAGGGAUAGUUGGGGGUAUUCGUAUUCCAUUGUCAGAGGUGAAAUUCUUGGAUUUUUGGAAGACGAACUACUGCGAAAGCAUUUACCAAGGAUGUUUNCAUUA
rnacentral:rRNA from 1 species